rnacentral:misc_RNA from 1 species
GGAGGGGUUGGUGUCUCUUAGAGGAGGUAUAUUUUUCCCUUCUAAAAGAAUCUGAAAGCGUUUUGCGUAGGGGUUCAAAACUGUGUUUGGCAAAAAGAGCCUGUGCAAUAGCAAUACUGCUCUGUCCUUGUAUUUUAGUACCAUAAAGAAAACAACCCUGUGACACAAAAAUAUGAAGAAGAGAGCAGUCAAAUCCCACCACUUGGAG